rnacentral:ncRNA from 1 species
CAGCAAGGACGACCUUGCCACUCGCCGCAGUGUUCGCCCGGGGACGGCCCCA